UUCAACAUUUAUAUAUUAAAGUGUGAUAUAGAUCGUAUAGAUCUAGGGAAUAAAAUGAGAAAGAAUGAGAUGAAAAAUAGCAAAAUUGUGCUUAUGAUUACGAUGAUGGUUAUGGUGGAAUUAUCAACAGCAACUCAGAGUCCUCCAUAUAAGACUCUUUUAAUCGACUGUGCUACCAAAUGUGAACUGGAAUGUGCACCAUUGCUGUUACCUCCUGCUUCUGGUUUUUCUUAUCUAGUAUGUCUCUUUACAUGUCGUCUCGAAUGUCUCGGAAAACCCACCGAUGCUGUUCCUGGUUGCGUCAAGUCUUGUGAUGUUCGCGAUCGCGAUCUUACGAGCAGUGUGGCGGAUUCCUGCGUCAAAAAAUGUUUGAAAAUGUAAUGCUUUAUAAAGUCAUAAUCAUAAACUAUAUUGCAAUAAAUACAUCAUAAAUUAUGAAUAACAUUUGCACUUUUAUUUUUCGUAA